AUUGAACGCUGGCGGCAUGCUUUACACAUGCAAGUCGAACGGUAACAGGCCGCAAGGUGCUGACGAGUGGCGAACGGGUGAGUAAUGCAUCGGAACGUGCCCAGUCGUGGGGGAUAACUACUCGAAAGAGUAGCUAAUACCGCAUACGAUCUAUGGAUGAAAGCGGGGGACCGUAAGGCCUCGCGCGAUUGGAGCGGCCGAUGUCAGAUUAGGUAGUUGGUGGGGUAAAGGCUCACCAAGCCAACGAUCUGUAGCUAGUCUGAGAGGACGACCAGCCACACUGGGACUGAGACACGGCCCAGACUCCUACGGGAGGCAGCAGUGGGGAAUUUUGGACAAUGGGCGCAAGCCUGAUCCAGCAAUGCCGCGUGCAGGAAGAAGGCCUUCGGGUUGUAAACUGCUUUUGUACGGAACGAAACGGCUCUGGUUAAUACCCGGGGCUAAUGACGGUACCGUAAGAAUAAGCACCGGCUAACUACGUG
rnacentral:rRNA from 1 species